UUUUGCAAAAUAUUACUAAUCAUAUUUUACUCUUAUAAUAUAUUAAUAUGCCAUAGUGAAAUAAUCUGCGUGCGUAUGUGUGCGAGUGUGUCAGGAUAAGGCUCUAAGGCAUAUAUAUGUAAGAGUAGCUCUAUAUUUAUCUGGCUUGGCUAUUUCUAAUCUUGUGAGCGACGCCAAAGCCAUUUUUGGCUAUUCAAAAGGGGGGUGAACCUGCUUCUAAAUAUACUCUUCUAAAAUUUGCUCUAUGUUUGCAAGUUUUGGCAAUUUCUUUUUUAAUAAAUGAUCGAAAAAUUUAUUAAAUAAAAAGAACAAAUUUCAUGAAUUAAUUUCAUUAUAUGAAAUUGUUUAUAACCUUUAGCAGCAAGGGUACCGCGCGCUGCAUAUAGCACACGGUAUCGGUACGUGCUGCAUAUAGCAACAUAUAGGUAAAAAGUUUCAAGUAUCUCUUAUACUUUUCUCCAGCUUAUCUAUAGAGAUUGCUGCAUCUUGUAUAGUAUACUACAGUUAUAAUAUACUAGAUGUGAGAUGCAAUCUGUAUACGUACUUUAAUUUAGCGCUAUUAUUAAUUACGCAUAAGUUUUUUACAUAGAGAAAGGUAUACAAAAUAUCUGAAAAUUUUGUUCAAAAUAUUUCGAAAAUUAAAAAAAAUUAUUCGUCAAUACGAUGCUGUUAAAGAUUAUUUUAAUACUAUUUUUAUGUAAAUUUUUCAAAACCAAGUAUUUUUAAUAUUAAUAGAACUUAUUGUACAAUACACAGAUACAUGCUUAUUUCUCUGCUCAAUAAUUAUUUACCGCGCGUAUGCCUUUAGUUACUUAGAUUUCUAAGAACUGUUUUAAUUUUAAAGCCAGCUUUAAUCCAAAAUAAAAUGAAAUGCGUUUACUCUGAUGUUUUUACGCAUACAGUAUUAAAAUCAAUGAACAACUGCUUUAUAAAAAUUAAAAUUUUCUCAAUCCUUACUUUUUAUUCGAUUUUCUUGCCUAUACAUGUAAAUAUAUCUAAGAACUUGCAAAUAAUUUUGCAUAUUUCUUUGAGAAUUCGUUCAGUAAAUGUCUUAUAUGUAACUGUAAGGGUCAGAAUUUUUAUUGAUUCGAAUUUUAACGGUAUUUGGAAAAUAACAUUCAUUUCGUGUUCAUUAUGAGAACUGAGAUGCAUGAAAAGUAAAAUCUUUAUUUUAAGAUGCUGCUUGUUAAUUUUAGACUAACGAAGACCACACCCUAUAUGUUCAAGUGACGACGAACCGCGGCAUCUCAGCCAAAGGUCUUUAAAUAAAUCUGUAUGACUUUGGCUUGCGAUUGUUAAUAUUUUACAAUUCAAGGAAACCAGUCAUUAACUACUAUCUUUCUGCAUAUGAUAAGAUUUAAUCUUUGAAUUUACACACGAAAUAAAAUAGUAGAUAACUAAAAAAAAUGUAAUAAAAUGCGACAACGGUUAUUAUUAAUCUUAUCACAUGAUUUUUUAAUAUCAAUUAUUCAACUGAUAACGAAGAAAAAUAUUUUCAAUAUAACAGAGAGAGAAGAUACGUACCUCGCACGGGACAGAGUGUAGUGGCGUCUGUGCUAAAGGAGCUACGCGUCGUCGAAUUUAUGCUCUCGUUCACACGCCCCCGCAUAUUUACGUGCUGCUGGUCCAUCCGGCACGAAAAAGGCUUGCUUCUUGGUUCGUCGCGAAGCACACAGAAUUGAAACAAGCUCAAUCCUAACAUGUACAACAAAAAUCAAUUGCGUGGUUAACCAUUUAACAAAAAGUAUGAGUUGCUUACGAUUGUUUGAAUUAUUAUUCCUCAAUAAAUCUCUUUUAUUUUCACCAAUUAUAA